CAGCAGCCGCGGUAAUACGAAGGGGGCUAGCGUUGCUCGGAAUGACUGGGCGUAAAGGGCGCGUAGGCGGCUGUUACAGUCAGACGUGAAAUUCCUGGGCUCAACCUGGGGGCUGCGUUUGAUACGUGAUGGCUUGAGUUCGGAAGAGGGUCGUGGAAUUCCCAGUGUAGAGGUGAAAUUCGUAGAUAUUGGGAAGAACACCGGUGGCGAAGGCGGCGACCUGGUCCGAUACUGACGCUGAGGCGCGAAAGCGUGGGGAGCAAACAGGAUUAGAUACCCCCGUAGUCCCUGUCUCUUAUAC
rnacentral:rRNA from 1 species